rnacentral:rRNA from 1 species
AUCGAACGCUGGCGGCAGGCCUAACACAUGCAAGUCGAACGGUAACAGGAAGCAGCUUGCUGCUUUGCUGACGAGUGGCGGACGGGUGAGUAAUGUCUGGGAAACUGCCCGAUGGAGGGGGAUAACUACUGGAAACGGUAGCUAAUACCGCAUAACGUCGCAAGACCAAAGAGGGGGACCUUAGGGCCUCUUGCCAUCGGAUGUGCCCAGAUGGGAUUAGCUAGUAGGUGGGGUAACGGCUCACCUAGGCGACGAUCCCUAGCUGGUCUGAGAGGAUGACCAGCCACACUGGAACUGAGACACGGUCCAUACUCCUACGGGAGGCAGCAGUGGGGAAUAUUGCGCAAUGGGCGCAAGCCUGAUGCAGCCAUGCCGCGUGUAUGAAGAAGGCCUUCGGGUUGUAAAGUACUUUCAGCGGGGAGGAAGGGAGUAAAGUUAAUACCUUUGCUCAUUGACGUUACCCGCAGAAGAAGCACCGGCUAACUCCGUG